UACAGAGGGUGCGAGCGUUGUCCGGAAUCACUGGGCGUAAAGGGCGCGUAGGCGGCUUGACAAGCGUGCGGUGAAAGCUCGGGGCUCAACCCCGAGUCGGCCGUGCGAACUGUCAGGCUUGAGCACAGUAGAGGCAGAUGGAAUUCCGGGUGUAGCGGUGAAAUGCGUAGAUAUCCGGAGGAACACCGGUGGCGAAGGCGGCUUCCUGGACCGACACUGACGCUGAGGCGCGAAAGCUAGGGGAGCAAACGGG
rnacentral:rRNA from 1 species